rnacentral:lncRNA from 1 species
CAUCAUUCUUACAGUCCAUGCAUGGACAAACCAUAUGGUUAUUCCUCCUACUCCUCUAAUCAACCUUAACAACAUUCAGGAAUUCAAUAACUAACUCAAAAUUUGUAAACUCUUGGAUUAAACAAUCGCUACUAUGUCCUUCUACUUGCUUGAUCCCGUAGCCCCCGAAUGAAUCUUAUUCAACUCCUCGGCAAAUUUCUUCAUGAUGUAGUAGUUUUUGGCUAAGUGAUUAG